ensembl:snRNA U6 U6 spliceosomal RNA
UGCUUUGGCCGCAGUGUACUAAACUCAGAACGAUACAGAGAAGAUUAGCAUGGCCGCAGCUCAAGGAUGACACAGAAAUUCGUAAAGCCAAAACCAAGUCC